rnacentral:rRNA from 1 species
AUUGAACGCUGGCGGCAGGCCUAACACAUGCAAGUCGAACGAGUGGCGGACGUGUGAGUAAUGUCUGGGAACCUGCCUUAUGGAGGGGGAUAACUACUGGAAACGGUACCUAAUCCCGCAUACCAUCAGCUGUGCCCUGAUGGGAUUAGCUAGUUGGUGGGUUAACGGAUCACCAAGGCGACGAUCCCUAGUUGGUCUGAGAGGAUGACCGGCCACACUGGAACUGAGACAAGGUCCAGACUCCUACGGGAGGCAGCAGUGGGGAAUAUUGCACAAUGGGCGCCAGCCUGAUGCAGCCAUGCCGCGUGUAUGAAGAAGGCCUUCGGGUUGUAAAGUACUUGCAUCGGGGAGGCGUUACCCGCAGAAGAAGCACCGGCUAACGCCGUGCCAGCAGCCGCGGUAAUUC